GGGCCCGCACAAGCAGUGGAGUAUGUGGUUUAAUUCGACGCAACGCGAAGAACCUUACCAAGUCUUGACAUCCUGUGACGCAUGCAGAGAUGCAUGCUUCCUUCGGGACACAGAGACAGGUGGUGCAUGGUUGUCGUCAGCUCGUGUCGUGAGAUGUUGGGUUAAGUCCCGCAACGAGCGCAACCCUUAUGCUUAGUUACUACGCAAGAGGACUCUAAGCAGACCGCCGUUGACAAAACGGAGGAAGGUGGGGAUGACGUCAAAUCAUCAUGCCCUUUAUGACUUGGGCUACACACGUACUACAAUGGCGUUAAACAAAGCGAAGCGAAGCCGCGAGGUGGAGCAAAACGCAUAAACAACGUCUCAGUUCAGACUGCAGGCUGCAACUCGCCUGCACGAAGUCGGAAUUGCUAGUAAUCGCGGAUCAGCAUGCCGCGGUGAAUACGUUCCCGGGCCUU
rnacentral:rRNA from 1 species